ensembl:miRNA
UGCAGUGCCCUAUUUAGAAUGGUGCUGAUGAAUUGCAGAACAAUUUGAUCAGUGCCUUUCUGAGUAGAGUAAGGCUUA